GAGACACCCCUCUGGGGCAAGACUUGCUUCAGUGGGGCUUUGGUGCUCACUGAGUCUGCCCCCUCCCUGAGUGUGUCCUU
rfam:Myotis davidii contig30127, whole genome shotgun sequence.